rnacentral:rRNA from 1 species
AUUGAACGCUGGCGGCAUGCCUUACACAUGCAAGUCGAACGGCAGCACGGGAGCAAUCCUGGUGGCGAGUGGCGAACGGGUGAGUAAUGCAUCGGAAAGUACCUUUCAGUGGGGGAUAACGUAGCGAAAGUUACGCUAAUACCGCAUAUUCUGUGAGCAGGAAAGCAGGGGAUCGCAAGACCAUGCGCUGAUUGAGCGGCCGAUAUCAGAUUAGCUAGUUGGUGAGGUAAAGGCUCACGAAGGGGACGAUCUGUAGCGGGUCUGAGAGGAUGAUCUGCCACACUGGAACUGAGACACGGUCCAGACUCCUACGGGAGGCAGCAGUGGGGAAUUUUGGACAAUGGGGGCAACCCUGAUCCAGCCAUGCCGCGUGAGUGAAGAAGGCCUUCGGGUUGUAAAGCUCUUUCGGCCGGGAAGAAAUCGUAUGGGUUAAUACCCUGUGCGGAUGACGGUACCGGCAUAAGAAGCACCGGCUAACUACGUGCCAGCCGCCGCCGUAAUAG